GUGAUCUGCCUGUCUUGGCCUCCCAAAGUGCUGGGGUUACAGGCUUGAGCCACCGCUCCCGGCCACAGGCCCAGGUUUCUAAUUUCCAAUAAGAUGAGUAUGCAUUGCGUUCUUUGUUAUCCCAAUGGCAUCCUGAUGUAGCAGUGUCCUUACACCUUAGCUAAACCUUCAGUAAAAUUAGGUAAGAUUUGCCCAUAUUUCUGGAAUUGUGGAAAGAUUUUAAAUAGCCUGGAAAUGAAGGACUUCAGUGCAAAUUCAUAUUAACCUGUUGUUCCAUCUAGAUCUGCGCCUCACUUUGUUGCCUGCUGCAUGUAAUUGCAUGGUCUUGCCUUUUUUUUUUUUUUUUUUUUAAUUACAGCUUUCAGGCUUUAGAAAGAAAAUGUAAUUUUGAUACAGUGGAUGAAUAAUCUAAUGGUAAAUGAAGCAGACUUUUUAAUGUUGAUGCUGUUAAGGAGAAGGUUAAUCAUAGAAUUCAAGGAGGUGGGAAGACAAGGUUAUUCUUUGUUUGGAGGCCAGAGCCGUACCUUAUGGUAUCCACUGGGCCAGCAGAUCAGCCCUCUUAUCCUACCCAUCGCAGUCUACCUGAGCUGGGAAAGAAGGCUGCUGCAGACCUAAUUUCCCAGCUCCUGGGUCUGUGCCCUCCUUUGUGGCUGAGUUGACUUGGCUAGGUUUUCCCUCUGAGGUCAUCACUUAUUUAUCCUUCCCUUAUAAAAUCGACUUUCUAGAGCUGACAGCCACUUGUUUGUUUCAUCUUUCCUGAGAACUAAGAGAGGUUCACCCAGCUCAGUUCUUCUCAAAGACACCCCAUCUGUGCAUUGUGCUUAUUUUCUCAUCCAUGAAAAGAGGAAGAGAGAACAGCCGUGGAUGUGAUGUCAGCAUCAAAACUUCCUUGAGGACAGGAGGGAUAAAUUGGGCAAACGGCUGAGUUCUCCCGCAGCCUUUGGGAGACUGGCCCUGAGAACCCAGAAUAGAUGCCUAUUACAUCAUGCAUGUGCUAUGGAAAGGUCUGUGCCAGGCAAGCCUGAGAGCCUCAUUCUCUAUUCCUAUGGGGUUCCAUGCACCUAACCUGGCUGCCAGGCUCCAACACCCACCAUACUUGACCUGUACUGGGCAUCCCCCCGCCAUCCCUCACUCUGUAUACAGUGAGUCUACCAGAAAUCUUGAAUUCCAGAUGAGCCAGGUCAUGCCAUUGUCAGCACAGAAGGCCCUUUGAAGCCCCAAAAUGGGUCAUUUGCACUCUCUUCUUCUGCCUGCUCCUGUUCCCAUGAGUGGUUGGCAUGGAAAGGGCCAUCAGUAGAACUUGGCUGGCAACAUUUGCAGGAGCAGGAAUCAAGAGAGGACCCAGGAGAAAGGAAUGGAGCCCAGGGGAUGAAACAUAGUCCAGAUUCUUGCUGGUGUGUCCAUGUGACUUGGUUUCAAUUCCUCACCAUUGUGUCACUGUGGCCUUCUAGAGAAGUCCAAACUGCUGGAAACGGGCAGUGCUUUCUGUGCUAACCCCUUCUGGUCUAACUGCUCAGCUUAGAGGAAGGAAGAAAACACUCAGAAUUCUGAGAGCAAAACCCCCCAAAAAAUCUACUCAAAGCACCUGAAGUUCAUCCCUGGGGAGGAGAAGAAAGGAAGAGCAGAUGCCCUGUAUCUCCAUGGGAGUACCGAGGCACAGAGCUAGGGCCGCCUAACUGUCCAGGGUAGAUCUCAGAGGGUGACUCAUCUGAAUUGCCGAUUCCAAGCACCAGAGCAAGGUGCUCCUUAAGAACUGAGUCCGGGUUCAUGUCUUCUGGGACCCCUGGCUUCCCUCUUCCCACUUGAGAACUAAAACUGGGUGCUCUGCCCACCCCGCUCACCCCGCCUUCACUUCAGUGCUCUUUCCCCUCAUCUGUCAUCCUUCGUGACAGAGGUUGCUUUUCAGAGUGACCCGCAUUCCACCACCUUCUCCCCCUCCCUGUGAAGAGCCACAUUUACUGGUAGUCCCCUGGCUCAUCCUCCCCUGCAGGCGGGGGAUGGGGGGCAGGGGAUGUGGACAGACCCCUGUUGAUGGUGAUGUUGGGGACUACCCACAGAACAAAAGGUGCAGCCUCAAGGGCUUGAGCGGGGGAUACUGGUGCCUGGGAUCAGGUAGCUGGGAAAACAGGGCAGUUACAUAACUCUGUUUACUGUGGCUCAGGUGGCUCUGAGAAGGCAGAGGCAGCCCCCGACAAAGGGCAGUGCCAGAGGUGGGGAAGCGGCGACUCACAGGGAGGGAGGUCCCUCUUAGACAGGGGAGUCGUGCUUGCAAAGGGGAGAGUGCAGUGGGAUUUGGAAAGGAAAGGAAUCUGUUCUGUUGUUGACAGCCAGCUGGCCAGCCGCCUUAUCUAGGACCAUCUUCCCAGCCUUAGCCUCUCCCUAACCAUGCCAGCUGUGGAGGUAGCAAGGGAAGCUGAGCUAGAGGGAGGCGUCAGGAAAUCUGACACCUGGUUCCUGGCUCAAUCUCCAAACCUUGCUACCUUUCCCCCCUUAAUCUACUUUUCAAAGAGAACGAAUUAUUCUCUUUAGAUAAGGGCAGAAAGGGAGGAAUCAGUCAAAUUUCCUUACGUUUUCCCUGCUCUGUGGCCCUCUGUCUCCCAUCCUCUCGGCUGUGAGGCCAGAUGGGCACCACGGAACACGGUGGAUUCUGACCUGAGAGAGGUGAUAAACCUGGCAGAGCCCAGGCCUAAGCAGACAGGCAGAAAUCAAAGCGGCUCAGGAAGAAAGCUCAGGUCUCCCGUAGACCUACCCCGCCUCCUCCUACAAAGCUGUUUACUCAACUCCCGAUUCCCAUAGAGAUGAAACUGGUGGCCAGUCCCCAGCUCCUUGCCCAUGGCUGCCACCUCCCUUUGUGAGAAACAGGAAGUGGGGAAUUUUGUCAGCUCAGCUGCACCCUCUACACUAAAUAUUUAUCUUGGAGUCCAGGUCAGAGCCCUAGAGAGUAAGAGAAGCUUGCUGCUGGUGAGGGGGUAUGGCCAGGAUUCCUGGAGUCGGAAGAGCUUCAGCUUCACCAUCUUGGGAGAAGAAGGAAGAAAGUGAAAGUGAUGUGGUCCUUCUUAGUCCCAAGGACCCUGACAGGUGGGAAAAAUGCGUGUCUAAGAAAAUGGGCACCUAUUUUAUCCCUGAGGGAGGGAAGAGGCUACCUGGGGUGGGUAAGCAGGUAUCUAAGCUUCAGGGGAGGGGCAGUGCACUGCUGCCUCCCUCAAGAAGUGUCCCAGGGUUCCUCCCCUGCUCAGCUGUCCUCCACAGCAGUGCCCCCGCGAUCCCCAUCUCUCCACCUUCCUGGAGAGGCAGGUUCUUGGAAGGAGUCUUGAAGGUCAUCUUGUUCAGCUCCCGCUCAGUGCAACAGUUGCCUUUACAUAGAUGCCCCAGGAUUGGCAGACUCAGAACCCCUGGAAUCAUGUAAAAAUGUUUCCUGGGAAGCCUUGGACUUGCUUCCCUAUGAUGUGUCCCCCAGUGGUCCCACUGCUGCUGGUGCGGCUGUCUGUGUCUACAUGGCAGCCCCGCAGGCGCAAGAGGCCAGCAGGCCUAUCUGAAGCUUCUCAACCCAAACAUCUCCUCCAGCUUUCACGUGUGAUGUCGUUUCAAGGCAACUGGGGAGAGCUCCUUUACCUGAAGGAGGGAGAAGAUAAGACUAAAGCAGUAAUGGUGGUAGGGACUGAAAAUCGCUUAGUCUUUUCUCCACUCUCUUUCCUUCCAACCUUUGAGUUGAGUGGUGAGUUUGGAAAACACUCCAAAGCUCUUGGUGGCCUCUGGCACCAGUCUGACACCCAGUAGGAAUGCAGGAGAUGACAUUAGUUUUCAUAAUUUAGCAUUGAUCACGCCCAGCUCCUAUCUAAAGUUGAUCAGCAACUAUUUGCUGGUUGGUUGGUUUGGGGCUUGGGGAUCCCUGAGCCAACCCAAGGGCUAGAAAGGAUUCCAGAGUGUUUCCAGGCCGGUCAAUGCUCCUUAGGCAUUCCCACUUUCUGAAGCAGGCCCUGUGCCACACAGAGGCUUGGGGCAGAGACAGGGAGAGGGGAUGGCCAGAGUGGAUGGGGAGCAAGAGGGCCGGGGCUCUAGGGACUCAGCUCAGAGCAGCGAGAACAGCGGAAAAGCAGGCAGAUCAAAACAAACACAAUGUCCGGGAACACCAAGACCCUCCUAAUCCCAUCCCCGAAAAAGGGACCCCACCCUUAUCCUCUCUAGGGGCGCGGCACGCCCAGGGGGGCCGCUCCCUUGGGCUGAUUUCCUCCCUGUGCUUGCACGUGUGUGAGCGUCCCCACGUUUGCAGUGCACGCGCGCCUGUUUGUUUGCACACGCCCGGCCGCGCGCCGCCGCAGGCACACCCUCUCCCCCAGCGCCGACGGGCGGCGGGGCCUUCCCCUGGUCAACUCUGCCACUCUGCCCGCGGGGCGCCCUCAUCUCGCUCCCGGCCUGUCCGCCUCCCCCGGCCUGCCCAGUUCACCACUCCUGCCCCCUUGUGCGGGCUCCGCCCGGUUCACCACUCCUGCCCCCUGUCCUGGCUCCGCCGCGCGGCCGCUCGCUUCCCACACUCUGGAAAUGUCGCUGGAAACUCUGAGUGGCCCGCGUCGGGCCGCCCGACCCCUCCCAGACGCCAGCCCCGCGGUAGGGGCCGGGAUGGCAGCUGGGAAACCAGAGAGAGCUCCCCGGGGACCCUCGGCGGCCCCUCCCGGCGCCGCCUGCGCCGGCCCGGCCUCCUCUGCAGGGGACCAGUGUCCCCGCGCGCGCCCCGACGGACGGAGGGCACUCGCACGCCCCUCCUCUCCGGCCCAGCCCAGGCCCGCAGUCCAGAUCCGAGACCCAAACUCCGCCCGCCCCGCCGCGCGACUCUCACGGUCCUGCCUCCAGCGCGCGCCCCCUCGGCCUCCCUCUUCCCUUGUCGGGCGCCCAGCCUGGCCCGGCCCGUCCUGACCCGGUCACGAGGGCCGCGACGGCCCGCGCUUCUCCCUGCCCUUCUUCCCCGAGCGCCCGCGCCAGGCAGUAGCCGGGCAGGGAUGCUCCUGCGCUCCCGGACGGCCUCGGGCCCAGCCACCUGCUCGCCGGGGAAGGUGCCCGUGAUCCGGAAUGGUGGCUCCAACACCCUUAAUUUCCAGUUCCACGACCCCGCGCCCAGGACUGUGUGCAAUGGCUGCUACACACCAAGACAAGAUGCUUCCCGGCACCCGGACCCCACGUGUUAUCAGACCUGGCCAGGCCCUGGGAGCAAGCCCACUGCAAGCACAAAGAUCCCUGCCUCCCAGCAUGCCCAGAACUGGUCAGCCACGUGGACCAAGGACAGCAAGCGUCGGGACAAGCGCUGGGUCAAGUACGAGGGAAUCGGGCCCGUGGAUGAGAGCGGAAUGCCUAUUGCCCCAAGAUCCAGUGUUGACAGCCCCAGAGACUGGUACCGGAGAAUGUUCCAGCAGAUUCACCGGAAAAUGCCAGACCUGCAGCUGGACUGGACCUUCGAGGAGCCACCCAGAGACCCCAGGCAUCUAGGAGCCCAGCAAAGACCUGCCCACAGGCCCGGCCCGGCAGCAUCUUCCAGUGGAAGAAGCUGGGACCACUCUGAAGAGUUACCUAGAAGCACCUUCAGCUACAGACCUGGAGCGUUCUCCACUGUGCUGCAGCCCCCAAAUCAGGUGCCCAGACGCCGAGAAAAAGGAGACAAUGUCUGGACAGAAGAGUCCUGGAACCAGUUUCUGCAGGAACUAGAGACUGGGCAGAGGCCCAAGAAACCGCUGGUGGACGACCCUGGUGAGAAGCCCUCCCAGCCCAUUGAGGUGAGUGCUGCAGGGUGCUGGGGACAGCAGCCUGAUAAACCAGGGAGUUUAGGGUUUUCCCCGCCCCAGUGACCAUGGGCAUAGGCCACCAACUAAGAGCUCUCUCUCCAGUCCCACAUGGUUUAUUUCUGUAAUGCCAGCACUCGGGACAGUGGCUGGCAUACAGGAGGCGCUCAGUAAACAUGUGUUAAAUAAAUGUGUUGGCCAAAGCAGGAGCAGAGAAGGGAGUGGUCAGUGUGCACUGGGAUUAUCAGGAAAUAUUCUUGGAGGUGGAGCUGGACCCUUGAGAAGCUCUGAGGGCCUGAUCUGGCAGAGACCCAUAGCAGAGGCUGGCAGGAAGCAGCAUGAGGGUGGGGGCGUCAGUCCCUGGGGUGGCGGGGGAACCUGGAUGGGCACAGCGAAGCCAGGCCUUGGAGGGCGGGAGAAGAUGGGAGAGGAAAUGGGGAGCCCCACUGGUGCUGGAAGAGAGACAUAACUUGGCAGAAACUGGUAGAGCUGCGGAAUGGCGGGAUCAGGAAGCGCGAAGGCACUCCGGGGGCUUGCAGGGCAGGUGCUGCUGGAGAGAGAGCUGGCCAAGCUGAGUGCCGAGCUGGACAAGGACCUACGGGCAAUUGAGACCCGACUGCCGUCCCCCAAGGUGCCAGCCCCCUGGGUUCACCCGCGGGGCACGCCGUUGACCGCACGGUUGGGGCGGGCCAGGAGCCUUGGCGGCUGGGCUGGGCGGAGGACGGGCAGACGAGGUCAGGCCUCCGGCGGCGCGCACAGGCCUCGGGCCCUCCUGGGCGCUGGCGGGCUCGCUCCUCCAUAAAUAAAAUACAGGGCGUCGACUUUCGCAAGUGACCCCGAGGAGCCUUUCUAAGCGGACUCCACGUCAGCCGUCGCGACGCCCGGGCUCCCGCCCCGUCCCGCCCCCGGGCCGCAGCCUUGGGGACCCCCGCCCCUUCCCCUAGUUCCCGCCCCGCUCCCGGAUCGGCCGCGCGGGCGCCUCUAGGACCCCGCGUCCCGCCCGCUCUCCUCCCCUCCCGAGCCGCGAACUUUUCCGGAGGCGACGGCCUCGACUGCCGCUGGGUCCCGGGGUCGCGGGCCCUGAUUGCGCCGUCUCUCCGCACAGAGCUCGCCUGCGCCCCGGCGGGCCCCGGAGCAGCGGCCCCCGGCCGGCCCGGCCUCAGCCUGGAGCUCCAGCUCCCCGAAUGCACCUUACCUGGGUUCCGCCCGGUCCCUGAGCCCCCGCAGAAUGGCUGAUGGAGGAAGCCCCUUUCUAGGUCGGAGGGACUUUGUCUACCCUUCCUCAACCCGAGACCCUAGUGCCUCUGACGGAGGGAUCAGCCCAGCCAGGAGGGAAGAGAAGAAGGUAAGGAGGGGACCAGGGUGUGGGGGACCUGGAGUGGUCCCAAGGCUACCAUCCUGGAUCUGCCAGCAGCCCAACUGAGGUAGCCCACUCUGUCCUCUCCCCUGCCUAGAGGAAGGCCGCCAGGCUCAAGUUUGACUUCCAGGCGCAGUCUCCCAAGGAGCUGACUCUGCAGAAGGGUGACAUUGUCUACAUCCACAAGGAGGUGGACAAGAACUGGCUGGAGGGAGAGCACCAUGGCCGCCUAGGCAUCUUCCCUGCUAAUUAUGUGGAGGUGCUGCCUGCAGAUGAGAUCCCCAAGCCCAUCAAGCCCCCGACCUACCAGGUGCUGGAGUAUGGAGAGGCUGUGGCCCAGUACACCUUCAAGGGGGACCUGGAGGUGGAGCUGUCCUUCCGCAAGGGAGAGCACAUCUGCCUGAUCCGCAAGGUGAAUGAGAACUGGUACGAGGGGCGCAUCACGGGCACGGGGCGCCAAGGCAUAUUCCCCGCCAGCUACGUACAGGUGUCUCGUGAACCCCGGCUCCGGCUCUGUGACGACGGCCCCCAGCUCCCCGCAUCUCCCCGCCUGACCGCUGCCGCCCGUUCAGCCCAUCACCCCAGCUCCCCCUCAGCCCCGCGCAGCCCAGCUGACCCCACCGACUGGGGAGGGCAGACCUCCCC